UACGUAGGUGGCAAGCGUUGUCCGGAAUUAUUGGGCGUAAAGCGCGCGCAGGCGGCCUCUUAAGUCUGAUGUGAAAGCCCCCGGCUCAACCGGGGAGGGCCAUUGGAAACUGGGAGGCUUGAGUAUAGGAGAGAAGAGUGGAAUUCCACGUGUAGCGGUGAAAUGCGUAGAGAUGAUGGAGGAACACCAGUGGCGAAGGCGACUCUUUGGCCUAUAACUGACGCUGAGGCGCGAAAGCGUGGGGAGCAAACAGG
rnacentral:rRNA from 1 species